AUACUUACCUGGCAGAGAGAUACCAUGAUCACAAAAGUGGUUUUCCCAGGGCGAGGCUUACGCAUUGCAUUCCAGAUGUGCCUACCCCUGUGAUUUCUCCAAAUGUGGGAAACUUGACUGCAUAAUUUGUGGUAGUGGGCGACUGUGUUCACACUCUCACCUG